UCUGCUCGCUGGAGUUCAGUUUGCUGGCUCAUUCUGUGUUUAUUGGAUAAAUGCACGUUGUCCUACGUACACAUAAGCAGCACCAGGGCAGAGAGGCGAUGCCUGUCACUUUGCUCGCUCACCCCAACCUGAGGUCCAUGCAUACAAAAAGGCCAGGUAGGACUUUUUACCCCCCAGCACAGGUGAUUAAUCACGAUGGAGGCAGCCCCUCAGUUGAAAGCCAGCGGAGCGUAGCGCCUGGCCAUCUGUUUUGUAUUAGCUGUUGCUGAAAUGCCAGUGGCCUGAAACCUUUAGAAAACACAGAAAGCCCCGAGUCUCUUUCUCUACCCCUGUCUGGUCCCCAGCGGGUAACCAAGCACAUAUCUUCAGGAAGCAGCAGCUAAUUCCUCCCUCAACAAUGCCGGGGCCCUCUGAUGGCCCCGUUCCAGUGGCAAGCUUGGAAGCCAUAUGUUGAAGCUGGAGAAGCGACAAGAUGGAAGGAGGCUGGAUUCCUGGAAGAGAACUACCUGUCCAACAGGAACACCCAUUUUGGACUUUAUAUGGCCAAAAAAUAAAUUUCUAUUGUGUUAAGUCACUAA